CUCCUCUCCACAUCCCUCCUUCCCAUUUGGCUGCCUCCUCCCUGCCCUGCUGCACAGAGACACUGGUAAUAAUGACAACAACACACAGAGAAAGACUUUAUACUGUAAGGGAGAGAAAGAGAGAGAAAACCAACAUCCACAAGCCGAAAAUAAUGCAUACCGUUAAAUAUACCUGUUAUAACUCCAAGGGGAGCACCAUCUACCUAUCCACCACCAAAACUGACAGCCGAGCAAGCAACUUCUUUCUCUCCACCCCAUCGCUGGAUUGUUCCUUCCACUCUUGCUCAUCGUAUAAAACAACUUUUACCAGUAAAUAUCGGUUUAUUCCUGAAACCAGAAGCCCUAAACAUAUCUUUGUUUAUAAGGUAAGAAGAAUAAUGGGAACUACUCUGGAAAUCAGUGCUUGUUCUGAGAAUCUUUUCUUCUCAAGAUGAGGUACCUGCACAAAUAAUCCAGGAAGUUCAGAAUGUUAUUGUCUCUUGAAAAAUAUUGACUGCUGGAUGACUUUUUGUUAUCUGAAUGUAGGGGUACUGUUAAAAUUUAUAACCACUUUUAAAAUAGAAGGAUUUCCUUUUUCUCACAAUGGUGCACAUCAUUGUAUUUGAAUGGAAAGAUCUGACAGGGCAAAGUAAUCCUAAAUACCUUUCCUUACUGGAUUUAGAAUGUUUUGCACAUGUCAAUUUUCUGUAAAGAUCAGAACAAUAUUUCUCUUGUCUGCAUAUUUUUGCUAGUUAAUAUUUAUUAGAUGUGCCAAGCUCCAUUGGAUAUAUUUUUCUGUAACUUCUGAAAUUAUUAAAUAACCAUAUACUGUAUGAGUACACACAUUAGAACACUGGAAUGUUGAACUAAGCAUUUUUAUGUAAAUAAUUACUACUUUUCAGUUGCAGAAAAGCCUGGGUAUCAUCUCAUAACUGUUGUAUUUUGCCCUAAUGGGAAAUGUUCAGACAUUCUGUGAUGUAUGUACUUGUGCCAAUGGUUAUGUGUAACUACUAAUUAUAAAUUGUAAACAUGCUUGUUUCAUUGUUCAGAAUAGUAUUUCUCUUGUUAAAAAUAUUUUCAGUUAAAUGUGAAAAGGAAUUUAUUUAUUUUUUUAAGAUUGUCUUGCAAGGUCUGUUUUCUCUACUUUUUUCCUAAAAAAUAGUAGGGUAAAGAUUGGAAUUUUGUCUAGUUUUUCACUUGAUAGACCAAAGUUACUAUUGACACUGUCUUGCAAUGCUGAUCAAAUGUAUAUCUUUUUGCACUUUAAAUGAAUAAGAAAUGAGGAAAAUCAAAGUGUCAAUUGUACGUACAUUCACUGUACAGUGAAUGUAUACCAUUAGUUAAUCUGUUUUUAAACAGAAUAUUUUCCUUUGUGGGAAGGGGAAUACUCAAGCAAUGUAUUUGCUAGUCGAUAUAAAGUGUUUACAUGUAAUUACUUA
rnacentral:lncRNA from 1 species